rnacentral:rRNA from 1 species
GUGUCAGCAGCCGCGGUAAGACGAAGGGGGCUAGCGUUGUUCGGAAUUACUGGGCGUAAAGCGCGUGUAGGCGGUUAUCCAAGUCAGGUGUGAAAGCCUUGAGCUCAACUCAAGAAAUGCACUUGGUACUGGGUGACUAGAGGACCGGAGAGGAUAGUGGAAUUCCCGGUGUAGUGGUGAAAUGCGUAGAUAUCGGGAGGAACACCAGUGGCGAAGGCGACUUCCUGGCCUGUUCUUGACGCUGAGGCGCGAAAGCUAGGGGAGCAAACGGGAUUAGAUACCCCGGUAGUCCUAGCCGUAAACGAUGGACACUAGGUGUUGGUGGUAUCAACCCCGCCAGUGCCGAAGCUAACGCAUUAAGCGUCCCGCCUGGGGAGUACGGCCGCAAGGCUAAAACUCAAAUGAAUUGACGG